GAUGAACGCUGGCGGCGUGCCUAAUACAUGCAAGUCGAGCGAACAGACGAGGAGCUUGCUCCUCUGACGUUAGCGGCGGACGGGUGAGUAACACGUGGAUAACCUACCUAUAAGACUGGGAUAACUUCGGGAAACCGGAGCUAAUCCCGGAUAAUAUAUUGAACCGCAUGGUUCAAUAGUGAAAGACGGUUUUGCUGUCACUUAUAGAUGGAUCCGCGCCGCAUUAGCUAGUUGGUAAGGUAACGGCUUACCAAGGCAACGAUGCGUAGCCGACCUGAGAGGGUGAGCGGCCACACUGGAACUGAGACACGGUCCAGACUCCUACGGGAGGCAGCAGUAGGGAAUCUUCCGCAAUGGGCGAAAGCCUGACGGAGCAACGCCGCGUGAGUGAUGAAGGUCUUCGGAUCGUAAAACUCUGUUAUUAGGGAAGAACAAAUGUGUAAGUAACUAUGCACGUCUUGACGGUACCUAAGCAGAAAGCCACGGCUAACUACGUG
rnacentral:rRNA from 1 species